rnacentral:lncRNA from 1 species
UCGUAUACAAUCUGUAAGGCCAGGGAGCUUGGGACGGCAGAUUUUGUUCCGUUCUAUUAAUGGAGGAAGGGCCAGGUUGGUCUAGCGGAACUGGUUUACUCCUAUACUCUGUUUCAAUUUUUCUAAAAAGGUUUUCGUUAAUCUGCACCUGUACCCAUGCUUUCUCCCAAGUAUGUAGAUCCUCUGCAACUCUGCUGUGCGGAAGGUUUCAUUGCUACAGCGUGUGAGGCAUUGACGGAAAUAAGAUUGAAAGGCAGAUUUCUUAUAUGUCCAUGGGUCGAAAGACCAUCUAGGGAUGAUUGUUGGGGUGGUUGUAGGUUUAACGUAAACCGUGGUGCUAAAGGCAUCUUCCAAAAGAUAAAUUUUGAUAUCCAGGAAAUUGAUUUCAGUGGGACUGGCUUGUGCUAGUUUUAGAUUGAGCCCGUAUUCUUUCUUAGAGAGUUGCCCUAUUAAAUUGCCUAUCUGAUGGUUGCUCCACG